GUUGAACCUGCUGGAGGAUCAUNA
rnacentral:rRNA from 1 species